AUUGAACGCUGGCGGCAUGCCUUACACAUACAAGUCGAACGGUAACGCGGGGCAACCUGGCGACGAGUGGCGAACGGGUGAGUAACGCAUCGGAACGUGCCCAGUAGUGGGGGAUAGCCCGGCGAAAGCCGGAUUAAUACCGCAUACGACCUACGGGUGAAAGGGGGGGAUCGCAAGACCUCUUGCUAUUGGAGCGGCCGAUGUCAGAUUAGGUAGUUGGUGGGGUAAAAGCCUACCAAGCCGACGAUCUGUAGCUGGUCUGAGAGGACGACCAGCCACACUGGGACUGAGACACGGCCCAGACUCCUACGGGAGGCAGCAGUGGGGAAUUUUGGACAAUGGGCGCAAGCCUGAUCCAGCCAUGCCGCGUGCGGGAAGAAGGCCUUCGGGUUGUAAACCGCUUUUGUCAGGGAAGAAAUCUUCUGAGUUAAUACCUCGGGAGGAUGACGAUACCUGAAGAAUAAGCACCGGCUAACUACGUGCCAGCCGCCGCAGUAAAAC
rnacentral:rRNA from 1 species